UGCACAGACACCCCCCGAGAGGAAAAUUUUAUUUCUUUCCUAUUGAAAUGUUACAACUCAGGCUUUUCAAGCAUUUUCCCCUGUGCCCUGCUCUUUGUGUUAGUAUCUACAGCUGGGGAGAAGACUCACUGCUGCUGUGGUGGUGAAAGUGAAUUGACUGGAAGCUUCUGCCAGGCCCAUCAGUUUAAUGUAGAAAGCUUCCUGUGGCAACAAAGAAGAGCGAGUCAAAGGGAAUUCAGUGCAGCAAGAACAAGGGCAGGGGGGAAAGUGUUUCUCCAGUGUGCUGGAGAGAACACAGAGUCCUCCUCAAAAGGAAAGGUGCAGACAGCUACCUCACCUGCUGUUGCAGAAGAACUAGGAAACCGGAGCAAAAUAUGUGCGAAAAAAUCCUUUAGAAAUCGGCAAGAUUUCAGUACAAAUUGGAUGUGAUGCACAAGAAAACCAACCAGAACAACACUCAAAUUCUAGUAAUGAGAUCUGAGAACAGUGGCAACUUGUAGGCUGUUCAGACUGGGGUCUAAAAUCCAACUGGGACCAUUGAAACAGACACUCCUUCAUCACCACAAGACUCUGAUAACUACCCUUCUCUUAAGCCCUCCUUGAAGUGAAGAGCCCAGGGCUGGCAAAUGCUUAAGGUCAGCCAUAAGAAGAACAAUAGUACAGCUGUUCUCUAGAAAACUGGCCAAUCAGCCUAAGUCUUUCUCUUUCUCUUUCUCUCUCUCUUGGAUCACUGUGCAUUUAUAAACUAUGUUUUCAUAACUCAGUUAAAUGGUAACAAAAACCAUGAAGUAUUAGUAUCCUAUAAAUUGUUUUAAAACUGUGAUGAAUAGCUAUGAUAUCUAGGGGCUGUGUACAAUGUACAGACAUUUCACACCCCUUCUACAAGUUGUCUCACUCUAUGUGAAGUCCAUGCCCAUUAUAUAUGUGUAGUCCAGUGCCUGUUUCAAAGGAGGUGGGUUAUAGUGGGCUUCAGUGAAUUUGGAGAGUUCCACUGAUAUAACACCAUUUAUUGCACACCUUGAAAGCACACUAUCCAAAUACUUUACAAAAGUAAUUUAAUUACAUGCAGUCCAUCUGGGAACUACUAGGAACCUCCUUUCAUUGCUCAGCUGAGAUGAAUGCUGUCAUGGCUUUUCAAACCCCAGGAGUCACAAAGUGUCAAGACUGUGAUUAUACGGCAGGUUGAGCCCACUUAGAAAAUCCAAAUAGCACUAAAAGGACUAGGAUGGAAAGUGAGCCUCUCGUCCAUAGUGCUCUGUUCUUUGGCAAUUGCAAACUCCUCUAUGUAGCCAUACAACUAAAGGUUUCUGGCCAAGGCUGGUAUGAAUGUUCUGUGUCAGUAGAGGUGGGUGUGAGUGGGUAAGAGGGUAUGUGGAUUUAUAUGGGGAAGUUGAGUGAGGGGGCAAGUGGGAAAGGUAGUUUCCUUUGC
ensembl:lncRNA